UACGUAGGGGGCAAGCGUUGUCCGGAAUUAUUGGGCGUAAAGAGCGUGUAGGCGGCCAGAUAAGUCCGCUGUGAAAUCUCGAGGCUCAACUUCGAGCUGUCGGUGGAAACUAUCUGGCUAGAGUCCGGAAGAGGAGAAUGGAAUUCCUGGUGUAGCGGUGAAAUGCGCAGAUAUCAGGAGGAACACCGAUGGCGAAGGCAGGUCUCUGGGCCACUACUGACGCUGAGAAGCGAAAGCAUGGGGAGCGAACAGG
rnacentral:rRNA from 1 species